UACGUAGGGGGCAAGCGUUGUCCGGAUUUAUUGGGCGUAAAGAGCGUGUAGGCGGUCAGGUAGGUCCGUUGUGAAAACUCGAGGCUCAACCUCGAGACGCCGAUGGAAACCAUCUGACUAGAGUCCGGAAGAGGAGAGUGGAAUUCCUGGUGUAGCGGUGAAAUGCGCAGAUAUCAGGAGGAACACCGGUGGCGAAGGCGGGAUCCUGGGCCAGUACUGACGCUGAGGAGCGAAAGCGUGGGGAGCAAACAGG
rnacentral:rRNA from 1 species